rnacentral:lncRNA from 1 species
AGUGGAGGUUAGCCUUGUUAAAAUGCACAUAAGUAAAACAAACAUUGUGAUGGGAAUUGCAGAAGUGCAAAGAGAUAAAAAGAGAGCAUAAGUUACAACUAGUUAAAUAAAGAAAAAUUAAUCAGCUUCCGAAUAUGCUUCAGUCAAUAACUCAGGUCGAAUUCUCUAAUAACUAUUAUUGGGUUGAAAGCCAAUGAUAAACAUAGAGAAGAAUAAUGCACUGCAUUAUUCAGCACAUUACUUCUCCAUAUCGACAAAGUAGGACUGUGGAAGUGUCAUCCAGGAAUAAGACCUUCUGCAAACAGAGACAUAAAAUUGUCUCCCAAGUUGUCUACCACAGUCUAUCCAAACACACUUUUCUUACUAAUUGUGAACACACAUGAGGAUUGUGUUUUGUUUUGGCACAAGGUGUGUUGGAUACAACUUAAGAAAUGUAGACACAAUCUAUAACCAUCAAGUCCAAACAAAAGUCAAGAUCUAAAAUGCUUUAGAAGAUCAGAAAAACAGCAAAAUAUCAAUUUCAGCUUCUUUUUCACUAAUUGUAAACUCAAACUCAAACCCGAGUAAAAGGGUAAAAGAAAGUGAAACUCACAAUUCAGACAUGUAGGUUAUGCUCCGUUGCAAUGAGAAUCAAAUUAGGGUUUAGUGGGUUUCCGUUUCAAACAGAUGGAAAAGCAUUGUAUUUGCGAAAAUCAAAAUAGACACUGUUUUUCACUUUGAAUUAAUAAUAUCUAUAUGAAGAGAAUAAAUCUUCUUACCCAGCAGGACCCGGAGGCCGGGAGUGAUAUUCCUAGAGCCGGUAAAAUUUGACACACUUAAUUAUCUGAUAUGAAUACUAGGUGAAUAAAUAGGUACGAGUCAUUUAAUUUGAUACGAUUUUUAUAUGUGUUAGAUCUGAGUAGAUAUAAUAUUUUUUUCGAAUUGAGUUGAGGCUAAAGUUUUUGAUUUAUUUAUUUAAAAGAAUAAUAUGGUUAUAUUUUUUAUUUUAAAUUAAUUUAUAGGUUUUUGUUAUAAAUUUUAAAUAUUGUACAUUAUUUUCUUUUUCUUUUUUAAAUGAUGAACAUGUAUAUAAUGUUUUAUUUAUAAAAUUUUAUAUAAAUUUAGAAUUUCAAUAAUGUAAAUAUGUAAAAUAUUGAUAGACAUAUAUGUUUUAUAAUAUCGAUAUGUAAUAUUGUUUGUAUAUGUAUAUAUUUACAAAUUCAAUAGUGUAAAUGAGUAAUAUUUUAGUAGAUAUAAAUAUAUAUAUAUAUAUAUAUAUAUAUAAAGCGGGUUAUUGAAGAAUUUAUUUAUUUUUUGUAUCAUAUCAGCGUCUUAAUAUUUUGAUAUAAUAUUAAAUAAGUAGUAUUUCAAUCAAUUUAAAUUUAAUACAACACGAAUACGACCUAAGAACCUAUAUUGUCAACUCUAGAUAUUUCUUCUCUUAAAAGUUUAAUAUAUCAAAUGAAUGUGGUCAAAACUCAACUGCCAUUGACAGCCCGUCUUUAUUUAUUACCAUUUUUUUUUCAAGUAGUAAAACAAAAUUAUUUUUUGGGUAAAUUGAUGAGUUGCAAAUGUAUUAAUUGAAUAGAAACCAAGGGAGAUAUUAAUAAACGAAAAUUAGAUACGAAUGAUAUUAAUCCUAACUAAUAUCACAAUAUUGAUAUCAAUUAUAAAUUAUAUACAUAUCAAAUAAUCACUUUUAGUAUGUUGAAAAGUCACGUAAAUAUGCGUUUGCCUUUUUUUACUCCUUCCCAUUUUCUCUACUUUUUUUUUAAAGAAUUAGCAUCAUAAAAAUUAAACAAAAAAAUACAAGACCCAAAUGGAGAUCAAAGUACCUUUCUUCCGAAAUUAUUUCAGAAAUAUUAGUUAUGCUAUCUGCAUGUUUUUUUGUUCGUACAUUUUAUCAAGGCAAAAUGUCAUUAGACAAUAAAUUCUUAAUAACGUCAUCUAAUUUUAAAUCAAUGCAGAUUUGUCUUGUUAUAAAUAUUCCUCAUAAGGUCUCUUUGGAAAUAAAAUUAGGUAAUAGUUUAAAAGUUACAGUACUAAAGUGUUUGAUAAAUAUUAACUGUUAUAACUUAAAAAAUAUGUUGAUAUAAUUUUUCAUUUGUAUGAUGAAAAUUUUAUUAUAUAAACUUAUUUUUUAAAAUUUAUAUUUACUACGUAUUAUUAACUUUUAUUUCAUAAUUACAAUAUUUUUUCUACAACAAUUAUAAAUUAAAAUUAUAACACUUCAAUCUUAAAUAGAAUGAUAAUCCAUCGUAUUUCUCAUUUUUUCAAAAAAAAAUUGUUCAUGGUCUUUGUUCACCGUCACCGGCUAGUAAAAAUUCUACGGCAUUACAUGUAUGAAACAGAAAAAUCUCCAAAAUCUCAGUACUAAUCCAAAAGAAAGACUACAUUACAUUCACAGUUCUGUUCAAAAUCAAUUCAGCACCUAUGACAUUACACCUACCUUACCAAUCUUGCCACCCUUCUGCUUUUCAAAUAAUCUACAAGAUUAUGCAACAACUAAUUCUCUUCUGCCUUUAUUCCAAAACCCGCCGCCCCAACCAAAAAAAAAAACCAAUCAAAAAAAAAAAAAACUCUGCUAAUCAAGAACCUCCGCUCUAAAGUUCUGAGAAGGCUGAAGUUGGUGAACUUGGAUAUCCACUAGUCUACUCAUGAAAUAAUUAACUACAUUCCAUAAUUACACAUGUAAUGUCAAUAGCGAUUAGCGAGUGUGAGAGAGAUAUUCUAAUCACACGUCAUUUCGCAUUGCAUUCUUACAAGGAGUUGUUCUGUUUCACACAUCAAACCAAGAUAAAAAAAAAUUGUACAUACAAGGAGACAGGCACAACUGUCAAUCCUUAGAUAGGAAAUGCACCCGUGCAAGGGUGUAUUCUUUCCCAGCUAUCCAAACGCCAGUUUGUGACCAUUGCACAUCCUCCCAGUCAAGAUUUUCUUCUAUUACCUGUCCAAGAAAAAAAAUUCAAAUAGAAGACAAAAGAACCACAACUACAUCGUUUCUAAGCAAUGUACAGAACAGAUGGAUUUAUAUACCAAGCUAGGCCCACCAUGCAUGUUUGCUAUGCAAAAUAUUACAUCAAUAUGCAUAUAUGAUUGCACAUGUGGAAAUUUAACUGGAUAGGCAAAAUAGAUGCAAUUUUGCUAAGUUGGACCAACAUGCCCUAUGCUGAGAUGGGCAAUAGGAGAAUGCAAAGUGGAAGUAGAUACCAAGCACUCAUCAAUACAAAGUUUCUGGCAACUCAGGAGUGCUUCCAAGUUCCAAAGAUGAACCUCCAUUCGUUUUAGUUCUAAACAUGCAAUGAUGUCGAAAGAAACAAGUGAGAUGAAGUACCUCCACAUGCUCAGGAGGCAGUGGGAUCCCAAUGGAACGCAUAACUUUUUGAGGAAGGGGCUUCUUGCAACGAGACCAACGAAAAACAUCAGUCAUAAUAUUAUCACCAUCAUUCUUUUCCCCAUUUGUGGAAUGUAAAAGGUGAUUUUGAGACUUUUCUGUCUCUGUAUCAUGUGAUUCAGAUGCUGGAACAGCUUUAACCAUCUUCUCUCCCGCAAAAGAGAGUUCAUACCUGCAGAUAACAACUUAAAAGAUCAGAAAAUACAAACCAUCACCAAGAAAUUGCCACAUGUACUUUAGAGAUUCCAAAAUCCAGAAAAUUAUUCUGAUUUGAGGCUAUAAAUCAUUUCUUCUUACACAAACAAAUGACAAGAGACUUUAAUUCAAGUGACUAGUUUCAUUCAUAACAGAUAUGAAAUGAGAAAAUCCUAUCAGUUAAUUAAAAAAAAAAAAGAAUUGAGAAAGUUGUACCCCAAGACCAACAGGAACAAGCAGACUGCAGAACUUCAAAGCUAUAUGCAGCUCUUCAUAAAAGCAAAGUCUAAUCCUAUUCCAUCAACUUGGAAACUUCACUAGGAUGCUUCCGGAUCUUAAAUUUGGAACUUAGCAUCUCCAGUUAAGUUCAGGUUUAAUGCAUCUGAUCUGUAAAUUGUCUUAUUACAAUGUUCCACGAAAUCACAUGAUGAUGUAAAUAUGUGAUCAUAUCUCAGUAUAGUUUCUUUAAUUUGAUCAUUGGUGCUAUGUAGCAUUAAGAACAAAAGAGCAAUAAGACAAUAAUAACAUCAGAAUAGAGGCAUAUAGAAAACAAUUACAUAACAAAUUUAUUAAAACAAAAUAUCAUGUUCCAAAAUCCCAAAUGACAAUCAAACAACCUGUGCAAACAAUUUAUGUCAAUAACAAGAUAGGAAGACUACCUGCAAGAAUGUGUUUCUAAAUAAAGAACUUCCCCCUUCUUCAAACGUGCUGAUGUAUAAAGGGGCUUCUUCAGACCUUUAUCAGCAACAAUACUUAUACUGUACUUAAUCCUGAAUAAGUUUGCGGGCAUUCAGAUCAAUUAGUAUCAGAACACUUGAAUAUCGAAGGGAUUCAAAAAAUAAAUAAAUAAAUAAAAACCAAGAAAAGCAAUUAUCAGGUAUAUUCAAUUGUUUCUAACUGUAAUGCUGAGAAAAGCAAGGUCACAAAGUCCCAACUAUCUGUGCACAUAAACAUUCAAACAAAUUUUCCAACAAUAAACUGAUAUAUGUACGUAAAUGCAUGCUAGAAAUUAUGAAAAAGAAGAUUAUAUGCAUACCAAGGUUCAUUGCAGAGGUUGUACUGAAUUGUGACUUCUCGCACGAAUCUUUGUUGCCUCAAUGCAUUCUGAAGAAUGAAAAACAUAAAGCGAGCCAGUUGUUAUUUAAUACAAACAAAACAUAUACAUAAAUGCUCACACAUACCCACAUGUGCUACACAAGAAUAUGUGAUUCAAAACAUAAUUGUCUUUGCAGUCCAAGUUAUCUGACAAUCAUUUAGAAGCUUUGUUUAAGACAGAUGGUUUUCAGAGCUGGCCUAACUCGGUGGCUUUGAAAGUCUUCUGUAUAUAAGCUACAUUAAGACAAAGAGGGUUUUCCAGGUGCACCAUGCCAGGUGUUAUUUGACAAUCUACCAAGUUGAAUACACAAUGAACACACUACAUUUGCCAAUUCUGACCCUAAUUAAAGAUUUAAAUGAACUAGGACAAAUGGAGAGAUAUAAUGGAAAGUCAUCCACUGAUGCAAUCCCAACAAACAUAAGUAGCUGAGUGAUACCGAUGCUGCAGCCCUAGUAGUCAUUGUCCGUUCCACUGCCAUGGGAGCAAGGGUAGGCUCCACUGUUGAUGAGUGAGUAAGACAAGGCUCUAGAUCAAUAGUUCCACCUCCUUUCUGCAAUUUAAAAAACAGAAAUUCAUAUGUGCAUAACUAUUAAAAAGUGUUAAACAACCUGUAAGCUACUAACUUCUACCAACUCAAUAGCACUUGCUAAAGUUUUUAUGCAAAAGAAAAGGGCAUUUUAAGUCCAAAAAAUUAGAAUUAUUGAUUGAAUUCCGACUCCAUCAAUCCAUGCAACCAUCCAAUCUUUAACGAAAAAAUGAAGCAUCAUUAAUGAGACAUCUGAAGCAGAAAAAGGCAGAGAUAACUAGUUUGUCACCUUCACAAUGCAACACUUCUCAACACGGUAACUACAACCACUUCCAGCCCCCCAGGCACGGGAACGUACGUUAUUUCUUUGUUCAGAUGUGUAACCUAACAAAGCUAGUGGAGGUUAGCCUUGUUAAAAUGCACAUAAGUAAAACAAACAUUGUGAUGGGAAUUGCAGAAGUGCAAAGAGAUAAAAAGUGAGCAUAAGUUACAACUAGUUAAAUAAAGAAAAAUUAAUCAGCUUCCGAAUAUGCUUCAGUCAAUAACUCAGCUCGAAUUCUCUAAUAACUAUUAUUGGGUUGAAAGCCAAUGAUAAGCAUAGAGAAGAAUAAUGCACUGCAUUAUUCAGCACAUUACUUCUCCAUAUCGACAAAGUAGGACUGUGGAAGUGUCAUCCAGGAAUAAGACUUCUGCAAACAGAGACAUAAAAUUGUCUCCCAAGUUGUCUACCACAGUCUAUCCAAACACACUUUUCUUACUAAUUGUGAACACACAUGAGGAUUGUGUUUUGUUUUGGCACAAGGUGUUGGAUACAACUUAAGAAAUGUAGACACAAUCUAUAACCAUCAAGUCCAAACAAAAGUCAAGAUCUAAAAUACUUUAGAAAAUCAGAAAAACAGCAAAAUAUCAAUUUCAGCUUCUUUUCCACUAAUUGUAAACUCAAACUGAAGAUAGCCACACUACCCUUAAACAUCAGUUGGCACAUACAUGUGACAUUUGCUCAUGAACAGCUAAAGUUGAAUAAGAUUUUUAUAUGGAACAGAAUAUACAUAGACAAAGUAGAAUACGACAGGAGCUACAGUAUAUUAUUAGCGUUAGCAACAUAUAUAAAGAAAAUUUAGUGGCAUUAUAUUCACUCA